rnacentral:miRNA from 1 species
AAUGUUUCCACAGUGCAUCC